AACCACACUACCUGAAUGGGUUCACCGGUGAGAUGACAUGGUUCUUUAUUUACAUAUAUUUAGAAUGUGGGUAUGGCAUCGUGAAUGUUCUACCUAGGAUGAAACUCCAAGUCCGCAUCCUAGGUGGAACAACCACGUCAUCUCGCAGGUGGAUCCGUUCGUUGAUAAUAUAGUU
rnacentral:pre_miRNA from 1 species